rnacentral:tRNA from 1 species
UUUAAUGUGGCAGAAAAGUGCUAUGGAUUUAAGCUCCAUUCAUGGGGACUCACCUCCCCCAUUAAAA